rnacentral:lncRNA from 1 species
GGCUAGGGGUGAUUUCAAAGCCAUGAUUAUGUGUGCAAUAUAAUUUGAUAAAUUCUAGUUAUGAACUCCUAAAUCGUGAAUGCAAUUGGCUUAACUAUUUGAUUGAUAACUUAUUUGUAUUUUUUAAUUAAGGGUCGACACAUAAUUGGCAUGCAUAAAUCCAUUGCUAGAAUAUAAUGUUGGAAAUGUGCCCUAAAACCAAUCAUGUGAUGAUACUUUACGGACAUUUCACAUGUUAAACUAAUCUAGUUUAAUAUCAAGGGCAAAGAUUAUUGUUUUAAGCCGUCUCAUAUAAAUGUUAUAUGCUUAAACGAUAAGUCCAAGGAAUAUGUAAUUAGGAGAAUGUAAUUUAAACAAGUUAGAUUUAUGAGACCAUUCUCUUUCGUAUACAUAUCCUAAACGUUCCUGAUCAUAGGAUUGCCAAUUGGGCAUUAACAGUCCAUUAAGAUCAGUACGUGCUGUGUCUUCUCUCAUGGAGAGUGACUGGUCUCGAGUCAUUGGUGUGAUUGACACCAAGACAAGCAUGUAGGUGCUCAAUAGCGAAUGAGUCCACUGAACACGAUCAACGAAGAGUUCUCAUAAUCAUGUCACAUGAGAACUCAUGGUUGGGAUAAUGCAAAGUAGUCAUUUAACCUGAGGCAUCAUAGUUGUCUUGUGGUUAGGUCCUUGAUCUUUGAUUAUGUCAAAGUCACUCCAUUCGCGGGUAUCCACAGCAUAGUUGGGGUUAAACCAGUUAGCCAUGGAGGCAAGUGAAUGCGCAACAAGGGAUCUCUAACCUUCAAACCGUUUGAGGGAGAAUACUCUAUGAUAUGAUUAAGAAUCUGUGGCCAGAGUAUGAAUGAGAUUUAGGAAGUCGUUCCAAAUCACAUUCAAAGUAAUCAUAAGUAAAUGAAUCACAUUGGAUAGUAGACAUGAAUAAACUAUCAAACCAAACAAUGUGGUCAAGUGUAUUGUAUUAGAGAAAGACCGUAUUGCAUUGUAAUCCUAAACUGAAUAGGUUCUCCACCUCUUCUA